UACGUAGGGUGCAAGCGUUGUCCGGAAUUAUUGGGCGUAAAGAGCUCGUAGGCGGUCUGUUACGUCCGCUGUGAAAUCCCAGGGCUUAACCCUGGGCUUGCAGUGGAUACGGGCAGACUAGAGGCAGGUAGGGGAGAAUGGAAUUCCUGGUGUAGCGGUGAAAUGCGCAGAUAUCAGGAGGAACACCGGUGGCGAAGGCGGGUCUCUGGGCCGAUACUGACGCUGAGGAGCGAAAGCGUGGGGAGCGAACAGG
rnacentral:rRNA from 1 species